rnacentral:lncRNA from 1 species
UGCUUGUAAAAACUACUAGAAUACUAGAUUAUUAUUUAUUUUCUGAUCAUUUAAUUUCUGUUUCUUUCUCAAAUAGUCAUAACUGUCAUUGUAACAUGCCAAGAAUCUUCCAUUCUCCAUGAUUAAUAAAACUCUAAUCUCCAUCCAGUGUAUGUUUCUGCAAGAAAAAAUGAUAAUGCAAUGAAUGUUAUUAAAAAAAAGUGUAAAAUUUAGUGAUUUUUAUAUUAAAAACUUUAUAUAAAGCCCUAUGUUGUGCUUAUACAUGAUUUUAGUUACUGUAAAUUCAGAAAUGAUUGAGAUGUUUUUAUUAUUAUGAAAAAUGCGACAGGGCUAUAAUUGCAAUAAUUCUUUAUAUGAAUUAAACAAGAUUUUUAACAAUAUCGCAUUAAAACCGCAUUUCAGUCUUAAAUGAAAAAAUCGCAAUAAUUAAUGCACGCAAUAAUUUCUGAAUAUACAGUACUUUAUCCUGCCAGGACUAAAAUCCAGGAUUUCUGGUUAUCUGAAUAGUGUAGUAACAUAAGUAAUACAUGAUCUUUUCCCUCUGGAAAGUUUUCAGUGGUAGUUGUUUGUCGUAAUUGUUUCAUCAUUGAUCAGGUUGUUGAUUUCUUAGUUUGAUUUUUUUCCCCAUUUUAUCAUGAAGGGGCCUUUAACAGCUUACUAUUCAGUAUGUUUUUUUCUGGAAAUCUCAUUGUAGAAGACUGUAUAAUGACCUAUAGUUGCUUACAUCCAUGUCAUUUGGUUACAAGUGGACACUUGUUUAAUUAGCAAUUCUCCUCAUUUCAUAAGCAAUUUUAGAUCCACUGCUCUUUCUUACAAAAUAUGUACUAAACCAAACCAUUCUCAGAAAUCUAUAUGCAAAUGUUUUCUUGGUCAAGUUAGUUAUGUUCUGGUAAAGCCUUGUAUACUUUUGCUUAAACAACAAAAACUUUGAAUUUCUUAUUGAUAAACUCACAAUAUUUACAAAUUAACAACCUACUACAAAACUUGUCAAAUGGUAAACACUUUCCAACACAGUGAAAUUGAUCUAAUAAAAUGGCACAGACGUAAAGAGUCUUCUUUGUUGAUUAUUUUUCAAAUUUUAAUGGAACAUUGAAUGAUCUAAUAUAAUUGAGAAUGAAAAUGAAGAAUGUGUCAGAGACAACCUUACCAUAGAGAAGAUAACUUACCUCUUCAAACAAUGGUUUACUUUUCUUGAACAUUGCAGUUAAAAAGCAUCUUUUUCUUAUCCACCGGCUUCUUAAGCUGAACACAAAUUCAGAACCUGAAAU